UUCAUAUUGAAACUGAAUUGUUACUCCCCAGGCUCUGUCCCCAUGGCCUAGGAGAACAUAAAGUUCUGCCCCAUGAUAUACAGUACCUUUCCACAAUGUUGGAUAUGAAGCCAGGCUUUGUGUCAGAGCCUGCAUAUUCCUACAACUUCCCAGAGUCCUGUGAACAAUGACUGGGAAGAUAAACCAUGCAAGAAACAGUA